AAAUUGAAGAGUUUGAUCAUGGCUCAGAUUGAACGCUGGCGGCAGGCCUAACACAUGCAAGUCGAACGGUAGCACAGAGAGCUUGCUCUCGGGUGACGAGUGGCGGACGGGUGAGUAAUGUCUGGGAAACUGCCUGAUGGAGGGGGAUAACUACUGGAAACGGUGGCUAAUACCGCAUAACGUCGCAAGACCAAAGAGGGGGACCUUCGGGCCUCUUGCCAUCAGAUGUGCCCAGAUGGGAUUAGCUUGUUGGUGAGGUAACGGCUCACCAAGGCGACGAUCCCUAGCUGGUCUGAGAGGAUGACCAGCCACACUGGAACUGAGACACGGUCCAGACUCCUACGGGAGGCAGCAGUGGGGAAUAUUGCACAAUGGGCGCAAGCCUGAUGCAGCCAUGCCGCGUGUAUGAAGAAGGCCUUCGGGUUGUAAAGUACUUUCAGCGGGGAGGAAGGUGUUGUGGUUAAUAACCGCAGCAAUUGACGUUACCCGCAG
rnacentral:rRNA from 4 species